UAAUUAGAUAUGAAAAUAAAUUUCAUGGCCAUCAUAAAGAUUUUUGCUGCUGACAAUCAUCUUUCAGCACUAUUUAGAGGUAUGCAUUCUUUGAUUGUUUAGGGCCUUGGUCUUAUACAAACCACACCCUUUUUCAGAAUAAUGACACGGCCCCUGAAAUCUUUUAGAUCAAAGGUUUCUAGAGAGAAUAUUUUUGGAAUUACUGCUGCAGAAGCACCAGAAAGCUUCAAAAUCUCGACAACAAAAACACCAGAAAGCUCUGAAGGUUGAAGCCAAACACAAAUGAACACAGCUAUAAAAAGCUGCAGACCCCUAAAGAACUGAAAUGGAACCCCAGGCUUAAAGAGAGAAGUUAAUGACGAGAACUCCAAAAAUAAUAGCCCAUAAGAAACCAGAUUGAAAGUGGCUUUGUGAAGAAACCAUUUCGAAGAAUGGCGGUUUCUCGACUCAGAGAAGCUGGUCUGCCAUUAAUGAAUCUUUUGAAGCUCAGGGGAAAACCCAUUUUGGAGCAACUCCAACUGGAGGAAAGGCUUCUUCGUACAUCUUCGGACAAUUGGUGCAUCAUCAAUGAUGGCACAAACACACCCACCAUCGUGAUGGGCAUAUCGGGGUAACUCUCUCUCUCUCUCCUUCUCUUUCUCUAAAACCAAUACCUCAUUUCUUGUUUUUGCCUAUAGAUUCAUCAUCAUCAUAAAAUCCUUUUCCCAACUAUUUGGGGUCGGCUACACCAAUCUUGAUUUGCCAUUUUGCUUUAUCAAGGGUCAUAUUCUCAGUUAGGCUAUAAGUCCCUAUAUCUUUUCUCACUACUUCUAACCAUGUGCUUUUGGGGCUAGCCCUUGCGUUUUUUAGCCUCCACUUGACCCACCCGCACCUCUUAACAGGUGUUGUACAGGGUGUCAGCGCUGCACAUGGUCAGCCCACCUAAGUUUACUUUCUCUCAUCUUAUCGCUUGUUGGAAUACCUAAGUCUUUCCAUAUGUAUUCAUUUCAAAUUCUAUCCCGUCUUGUUUUGCCACUCAUCCUUUUCAAC